AGAGAGAGACAUGCGCGCAUAUCAAUAAGCGGAGGAAAAGAAACUAACAAGGAUUCCCUUAGUAACGGCGAGUGAAGCGGGAAGAGCUCAAAUUUGAAAUCUUCAAGGUUUUACCUUGACGAAUUGUAGUUUAAAGAAGUGUUUUCUGCUGAAGUUUUGGUAAAAGUUCUUUGGAAUAGGACAUCAUAGAGGGUGAGAAUCCCGUAUUUGACCAUUAUUUUCAGCUUUGUGAUACACUUUCAAAGAGUCGGAUUGUUUGGGAAUGCAGUCCAAAAUGGGUGGUAAAUUUCAUCUAAAGCUAAAUAUUGGCGAGAGACCGAUAGCGAACAAGUACCGUGAGGGAAAGAUGAAGAGAACUUUGAAAAGAGAGUUAAACAGUACGUGAAAUUGUCAAAAGGGAAGCGUUUGACACCAGUGUUGUUUUCUCGAAAAUCAAUUAAAAAUGGCUCGAUUUUGUAUUGCUUGAGACCUUAAAAGCUCACUGUACAUUUUUCGUGUCUUUUUUAAUGCACUUUUCGUUUAACAAGUCAACAUCAGUUUCUUUUGUUGUAAAAGGGUCAUUGGAAGGCGGCUUUCUUUUCGGAGAAAGUGUUUAUAGCCUUUGGCCUCUGCAAUCGGAAGAGACUGAGGUCUGCAGCGUAGACUCUUCGGGGUUAGAUACAUUUGUGCUAAGUUAUAGCUUUUCAUAGACAACUUGUUGACUAUAAUUAGUCUUGUAGCUUACUCGCUUAUGCUAUUUUACCUACGCUUAGGAUGUUGAGUCGUAGAGCACGCAG
rnacentral:rRNA from 1 species